rnacentral:rRNA from 1 species
GCAUAAUCUCUACGGAGAAAAGCAGGGGAUCGCAAGACCUUGCGCUCUUGGAGCGGCCGAUGUCUGAUUAGCUAGUUGGUGAGGUAAAGGCUUACCAAGGCGACGAUCAGUAGCUGGUCUGAGAGGACGACCAGCCACACUGGGACUGAGACACGGCCCAGACUCCUACGGGAGGCAGCAGUGGGGAAUUUUGGACAAUGGGGGAAACCCUGAUCCAGCCAUGCCGCGUGUGUGAAGAAGGCCUUCGGGUUGUAAAGCUCUUUCAGCCGGAACGAAACGGUCACGGUUAAUACCCGUGACUACUGACGGUACCGGAAGAAGAAG